CAUGGUCCCCACUGUCCACUUCAGACUGAGCCUGGACUCCUGGGAACUGUGAUGUCACAGCCCACACUCCAGCUGGAACUUCCAGCAUCCAGCAAAGAGCACAACACAACCGUUGGCCGUUGUGUUCGCACGCUCUUCACCCUGCUCCUGCCCACUCUGCUUGUCACCUGCAGCUCGAUAACCUCAUCAGUCCUAAAAGCUCCUUAUUGCCUGGAUUUUGUCAUCCAGCCCUGCAGGAUGCUCCCCUUUGUUCUGAGGAAGGCUGUCCCAGACAGAGAGGAGAAGAUGGAGGUGGAUUCAAAGAUUGACAUGGAGGAUGAGAUGGAAAUAGACGGAGAGGACCCGAGAGAGGAAGAGAUGGAAGUGGAUGUGGAUGAGGAAGAGGAGAUGGAAUUGGAUAUGGAAGAGUCCAUUGAGGACAUGGACAUUGAUUAAAAAGGUGCCAUGGACAUCAUGGAGAGAGAUGCCACCUUUUUGUACAUACGUUUUGCACUUAGAUGUUGUCUUUAGGAUAUAGGUUUUAUGGCUUUUUGUCUUCUCUAAAUACGUUUCAUAUAUUUUUUAUUAGAUAGGUUUUUCUGUAUAUAUGUUCUAUCGAUUGUUGUUGUUACAAAUAUUCUUGCAAUGUAAAUAUAUUCUGUAUUUUUGCUGCUGUUCUUCUGUAAUAAACAAAUUUUAUUUUUCACAUCCCAGUUCUCCUUGCAUUUGCUUCAGGCACAGGCAGCAUAUUGCCAAGGUGUAGUUUCCACUUGCUCCAGGUUCCCAGGGCUGGAGGUCAGAAGUAGAUGAAGGGGGAAAAAAAUCCACAAUUAAGAGUGUCCAUGACACCCAGAGCCAAAAGAAGCCCAGGGGAUCAGGAAAGAGGGUAGCACGUGCUCCAAACCACAGCAGAAAUGAAGUGAGAGCUCUCACUUCCUCAGAAAGAGGAAGCCUGAAGAAAGGAAAA